rnacentral:rRNA from 1 species
UAUAAUUAAAUAAAGAUAAUAUUAAUAUUUACGAAAUAAUAUGAGCUAAAAUUUAUUACCUUUUAGGGAUUUAAUUAAUUGUAGCAAUACUUAGUGUAACUAUCUUUUAGGGGUGAAAUGCCUAUCAAAUAUUAUGAUAACUUAUUUUGAAAGAAAUAUAUUUAGUAUUUAGACAAUUCAGAAAUGAUAAGGUUACUGAAUAUCAUUAUUAGUAUUUUGUAUUUUAUAAAUUGUAUAAUAACAAUUAUAUAUAAAUUUUAAAAAUGAAAUUUAAUUUAAAUAUGAAUAUUACUUCUAUAUGUAGUUUAAUAUAUAUUACAUUAAUUAUGUUAUAAUCAGUAUUAAUAUAAUUAUUUUAUAGGAACUCGGCAAAAAUAUUUUUCAACUGUUUAUCAAAAACAUUGCUUAAAGCUAUUAUUUUAGGUUAAUCCUGCUCAAUGGUAAUCUAAAUAGCCGCAGUACCUUGACUGUGCAAAGGUAGCAUAAUCAAUUGGCUUAUAAUUGAAGUCUAGUAUGAAUGGGUUAUUGGGGAAUUUCUGUCUUUAUUAUAAUGUAAAAAGUUACUAAAUAAGUGAAAAUUCUUAUACAAAUAAAAUAGACGAGAAGACCCUAGAAAUUUUUAAAUAAUUAUUUAUAGAUCUUUUUUGUUGGGGCGACAUUGCAACAGAAAACUUGCAUAAUAGUAUAAGAAUUAUUUGUACUGUAUAAAUAAAUUACUCUAGGGAUAACAGCAUAAUUUACUAAAGUUUGUGACCUCGAUGUUGGACUAGGAAAUAAAUUAUUCAGAAGAUAGUUGUUUUUGCUCUGUUCGAGCAUAUUUUCCUACAUGAUCUGAGUUCAGACCGG